rnacentral:miRNA from 1 species
UUGGGACAGGAGAGUUGGAGCC